GGAACCAGUCACAACAGCUGUCCAGAUUACACAGGACAGCAUAGAAGACAGUAUUUCUUGUCACUGUGAAGACUGUAAUGACCUGACUUGAUAAACUGAAGUGAUAUUAAGGUAGACUCAUGCUGAAGGAGGGUGUGUUACUGGAGGAGGAUCUUGAAUCUAGACUGUUGUGUACUCAGAGCCAGCUUGAACACUGCCUAUUUCUUCUCUCUCUAUGGAUAUAUGGAGAGGGUCAUGGUUAUGAGACUUCCUUAAAUCACAGAUGAGACUUUGGACUUUGGGACAGUGCUGGGAUUCAUACAGAAAAUUGGGGCUUUUAAAGCUGGAUGAAGAAAUUUUUCAUUGUGAGAUGAACAGGAGUCUAUGGGAUCAGCAGUAGAAUGUGGUGGUUUGAAGGCAAAUGUCUCCCCUAGUCUCAAGUAUUUGUAAUUAAGCUUUCUAUUUAGUCUUUAGCUCACGGGGUUUUUGGAAGGUGGAGCCCUGAUGGAGGAAGUGUGUCAGUGGGGGCAGACCUUGUGGUUUAAUCCAGCCCACUGUGUGCUCAGAGCCAGCUAGCGCUUACUAUUCUCUCUGUUCUGUGGAUAUGUGAUGGAGUGAUCCAUCUUCCUCUCCCAUUAUGAAGUUUCUCUUUGAAACUUUA